ensembl:lncRNA
AGGAAAUGAAUGCUUCAAGGAGAUCAGCUAGCAAGGAGCUGGGACCUGACAAAAUGUGUCAGAAAGGAAGCAAUUAGAGUCAAAACAGGAAAAAAAAAAUAUCACAGUUUUCUACAUAAAUAUGGGCACAUCCUGCUUGUGAGUACCUGCAGAAUCCCUUAAAGUGAAGGCUGGGUUUACCUGUGUUGUUGAUGGAAGCAGUCCAAAGGCCAGCGCACACAGCCCUGACCAUUUUGGUUGAUCACUGUUUGGAUGCUUGGUGUUGGUCUUCAGCCCAGAGCUUUCUCAAUGGCCAGCGCUGGGUCCAGGAGCCAGAGAGCACUAUGGGGACCACUUGGUUGUUUGCACACUGGUGAACUGAGCCCUUCAUCAAAGCCUUCUUGGACACACAUGAGGUUCGAGGCAGAAGGAAAUUUUGCUGCAGAUGAAUCCUGAAUAGAACACUUUGAAUUACCGCAGAGCCUUUCCUGGUGAAAUGGCAAAAUGAGCUCUUUUUUUUUGUGCCAUCUAUUUGUGCCUCCAAUUUGACAUUUUGGGGACAAAAGAGAGAAAGAAAUGCUGAAUUCCAGAGUGUUUGACACUUGCUGCAAGAGACAACCCAGGACAGCAGUGCGUGGGCCACUUUGGAAGAUGGGGACAUGGAUGGGGACCUGGGGCUGCACUGCAGAACCACAAAGGCACCAUCCAGUCCUGCUCUGUCCCACCAGCUCCAUGUUCUGUUCCCAACAAACCAGUGACCAAACCCAGCAGCCACUUUUCACACCAUACUCAUCAGGGUGGGUGCUGUGACUUUUGCUGGGGGUCCUUGAGGAUGCUCUGUUAAAGCAGGAUGUAUCUGACCCUGGAAAUAGAGCAAUACGUUCCCGAUGCAGCAGAGAUCUGGGGAUGCAGCUCUUGGGAAAUGCUUUGCUUCCUUAAACUUCUGUUUGGGAAAAAAAAAAAAAAAAGAGCAAAUUCUGAUCUAACAGCAUAAAACUGGAGUCAUUCUACUGCAAACCACAGCUUGACUUUGAAUUAAUAUUGGUGUAAAUUGGAGUAAGAUUUGGCCACAAGACUCAGCUCUCCCCUCAUUCCUGAAAGACACAAACACAAAGCUCUAAACAUUGACAGUUAUGUAUUGCAUAAAAUAUUUCCUGGCUUGGAAAACCUCACGGGACAGCGAUCAGGAACAAGAUGGUGC